AUGAUCCAAGCAAAGCAACAGCUGUGGCUCUUCCUGGGGAGGCCCUUGAUAGAUUGUGUACAACCAACACAAACACCUAUUGAUGAGCUCCUAAAUAGGGGUGAACACCUAUGGAUGGAAAACCUUAAAGGACCAAAUCCUCGGAGCCAAAUAGCUCUGUGGUACAAUCUCUCAAGGAGAGGAAGACCUGGAGAAAAGGGAGCAGCUGGCCGAGAGAAAUGGACACCAAGUAGUGGAGAGCAGCCGGCUGGCCACGAGGUGAACAUCAUUGAGCGCUCUGCUUUAGCACCUUGCAUAAUGAAUGUCUCAUUGGCAUACUGCUUAAGCAUCAUGAAACCAGAGCAGAUUCCCUAUUUGACUAGGAGGGCCUCCUUAACGCCAUAA
rnacentral:lncRNA from 1 species